AUAUUUAGAUUCCACAGAGUUAUUAUCUUAGAGAAUGUGACAAAUAUAAUUUUAGAAUUAAGUUGCAUUUUCCAUAUUGCUUUUAAGAAGAAAAGGAACUUACUUUUUGCUCUCUUUCCUUGUAGGUUUUUAUUUCACUUCUUGUACUCUCCCCCCCUCCAUCAAUCCAUUAAAUAUUUUCCCCAGGUUCUGCUUUUGUUCUCUUUUUUUUUUAUAUAUAUAUUUUUAUUUUUUUAUUGCAUUUUAGGUUUUGGGGUACAUGUGCAGAGCAUGCAAUACAGUUGCAUAGGUACACACAUGGCAGUGUGUUUUGUUUGCUUUCUCCCCUUCACCCACAUUUGGCAUUUCUCCCCAGGCUAUCCCUCCCCACCUCCCCCUCCCACUGGCCCUCCCCUUUUCCCCCCAAUAGACCCCAGUGUUAAGUACUCCCCUCUCUGUGUCCAUGUGAAUCUCACUCUUUACAACUAAUCAAAAAUAUAUUUUUAAAGGGAUUCUGAACUCAGAUUCCUUUGCAAGUGUCCUUAUGUUCUCAUUCUACUGUAAACAACAAAUAAAAUUCUAAGGCCCCAACCAUCUGAAUGGACCCCUCCUCUUGGCCAAAGGCACUCCAAAGUUAAGUGAAAAAGUAGAUAAGACCAUGAUGGAAAUGGAGAGCCAGACAUACCUCAUUUAUAACCCCCUUCCUUUUAGAAUUACAGAACAGACUUUUUAAGUCUGAUAAUAAAUAUUUGCAAUCUAUUCUCUCUGAAGCCUGCUACCUAGAGGCUUCAUCUACAUGAUAAAACCUUGAUCUCCACAACUCCUUAUCAUAACUCAGGCAUUCCUUUCUUUUUUUUUUUUUUUUUUUUUUUUUUUUUGAGACAGAGUUUCGCUCUUGUUUACCCAGGCUGGAGUGCAAUGGCGUGAUCUCGGCUCACCACAACCUCCGCCUCCUGGGUUCAGGCAAUUCUCCUGCCUCAGCCUCCUAAGCAGCUGGGAUUACAGGCAUGCGCCACCGUGCCCAGCUAAUUUUUUGUAAUUUUUUUAGUAGACAUGGGGUUUCACCAUGUUGACCAGGAUGGUCUUGAUCUCUUCACCUUGUGAUCCACCCUCCUCGGCCUCCCAAAGUGCUGGGAUUACAGGCAUGAGCCACUGCGCCAGGCUCGGCAUUCCUUUCUAUUGAUAGUAACUCUUUCAAUGAAUUGCUAAUCAGAAAAUGUUUAAAUCCACCUAUAAUGUAGAAGCCCCUGCUUUGAGUAGUCCUGCCUUUCUGGACUAAUCCAACAUACACCUUAAUGUCUUGGUUGAUUUCUUAUGUCUCCCUAAAUUGAAAAAAUCAAGCUGUACCCCAAACACCUUGGGCACAUAUCUUCAGGACCUCCUGAGGCUGUGUCAUAGGCACAUCCUCACCCUUGGCAAAAUAAAUUUCCUAAAUUGAUUGAAACCAUCUCAGACACUUUCAGUUUACACUACUUUAAAGAAAGCAAAGUUGAACACAGUAGAUGACAAAAUAUAGCAAUGGUUUAUUCCUACAGAAAACAGAAUUAAACACUAUAUUCUGAGAAUAAACCUUGGUUCUUCAUCUAAAGAUUGGCAGAUGAAACCACAUAUAUGUUUGAAUUUAAAAUAAAUUUAUGCAAGCAUGUAGCAUUUCCUUAUGAUUCCCCAUUUAACUGAUGCUUUUAAUUAACUAUCCAAAUAUUGGAGUACUUCAGAUACAGGGGCUUCUGCAUUUACGAUUGCAUAGCUCAGACUUUGAGAAGUGGAUCACACUGCGAGUAUCUUCCUCGUGUCAUGUGAAGCUAGUCUAACACUGAAGAAAAUGGGUGCUCCUCCUCUCCUACAUGCAGAGGUGGAGAAAUGAAGUUGAUCUUACAAUGGUAUUGAGGAAAACCUGACCUUUCUCUCUGGAGGCUGAAGGCACUCAAAAAGGGGAGAGGAGAAGUGAAGAAACUG
ensembl:lncRNA